AGACCCGAAACCCGGUGAUCUAGCCAUGGGCAGGUUGAAGGUUGGGUAACACUAACUGGAGGACCGAACCGACUAAUGUUGAAAAAUUAGCGGAUGACCUGUGGCUGGGGGUGAAAGGCCAAUCAAACCGGGAGAUAGCUGGUUCUCCCCGAAAGCUAUUUAGGUAGCGCCUCGUGAAUUCAUCUCCGGGGGUAGAGCACUGUUUCGGCUAGGGGGCCAUCCCGGCUUACCAACCCGAUGCAAACUGCGAAUACCGGAGAAUGUUAUCACGGGAGACACACGGCGGGUGCUAACGUCCGUCGUGAAGAGGGAAACAACCCAGACCGCCAGCUAAGGUCCCAAAGUCAUGGUUAAGUGGGAAACGAUGUGGGAAGGCCCAGACAGCCAGGAUGUUGGCUUAGAAGCAGCCAUCAUUUAAAGAAAGCGUAAUAGCUCACUGGUCGAGUCGGCCUGCGCGGAAGAUGUAACGGGGCUAAACCAUGCACCGAAGCUGCGGCAGCGACGCUGAUGCGUUGUUGGGUAGGGGAGCGUUCUGUAAGCCUGCGAAGGUGGCCUGUGAGGGUUGCUGGAGGUAUCAGAAGUGCGAAUGCUGACAUAAGUAACGAUAAAGCGGGUGAAAAGCCCGCUCGCCGGAAGACCAAGGGUUCCUGUCCAACGUUAAUCGGGGCAGGGUGAGUCGACCCCUAAGGCGAGGCCGAAAGGCGUAGUCGAUGGGAAACGGGUUAAUAUUCCCGUACUUGGUGUUACUGCGAAGGGGGGACGGAGAAGGCUAUGUUGGCCGGGCGACGGUUGUCCCGGUUUAAGCGUGUAGGUGUGUGUUCCAGGUAAAUCCGGUUCACUUUAACACUGAGGCGUGAUGACGAGGCACUACGGUGCUGAAGCAACAAAUGCCCUGCUUCCAGGAAAAGCCUCUAAGCAUCAGGUAACAUCAAAUCGUACCCCAAACCGACACAGGUGGUCAGGUAGAGAAUACCAAGGCGCUUGAGAGAACUCGGGUGAAGGAACUAGGCAAAAUGGUGCCGUAACUUCGGGAGAAGGCACGCUGACAC
rnacentral:rRNA from 4 species